CAUUGCUUUCACACAAAAUGCAUUCAGUGACCACAGUUACCAAAAUUCAUGAACUCUUUUCUCAGUCAGAGUUCACCACCUGCAAAACACUAUACUUUUAAAGCACAUUUUUUCAAAUGCUUACACACUUUGUUCAAAACAGUUAAAAACACAAUCAAAACAGAAUGAUGGAAAAAAUAAUGUGCAUUUCUGCUGCAGCCACCUUGAAAUCUAUAGAAAAUAAUAUCAAAAUAUUUACAAUAAAAUGAAAUAAUAAUAAUUCCAAAUGCAGCUGAGUGCAGUUUGCAGCUGAAAACCCACCCAGAUGACCUGUCUUGUCACUAUAGCAAGCAGAUAAAAGGGGAUGGCUUCUGAAUUUUGUUUUUUGGAAAUAUGGAUCAAAGAGGACAGAUUGGUGAAGAGAGAAGAGUGGCAAUGAGAGGGAGAAGAAGGAGAGGAAGACCAAGAGCUGUGGUCUCUGAUGAGAUAAGAGCCACAGUUACAGUUUUUCUCAGUUGCUUUAAUGUAUUUCUCUGAUCAGAAUUAAAAUUCUCAUAACUGUUAGUUCAACCUCCACAACAUUUAGUCAUUUGUGCACGUCAUAAUAGCAGUUUCUCAUUCCUUCCAACAAAUUGCAAAUGCUUUUGGACAUGCAUCAAUUGCUUUCAUACAAUUCUCUGCUGUUUUAUGACAUUAUCAUUUGCUUAUGUCAUGUCAGUCAAAAUGAACUAUACUUAUGAAUGCUGAAUAGUCAGUCCCUAUAAAACUAAUAGUCCUCAUUUCAUUGCUUGAGUCAUUACAUACAAAAAUGUUGAACUAAUUGUCAAAAUCUGUCAAGCAAAUUUUAUACAUUUCUUUAUCAUUUUUUCCUGAAAAUGUCUCCUAAACUGAACAAUUUCUCUCAGGUGAACCUCAGCUUUCACUGAUGAGGAGGAGUGUGUGAAGCAUUAGUUGUAACCAAUCAUAAGCCACUUCUCCACAGUCACUCAAAGCUAAAUCCCAUUGGCAAACAUAUAUGAACCAAACAGGACAUAGUGUGUACCAUUUCUAUUAUACUGUGACACAGAAAUGGAAGGUCAGCGUCGUGGAAGAGCGGUGAGGAUGCGGGGAGGAAGGGGAAGGGGACAAAACAGGGGAAGAGGAAGAAGAGGCCAAGUAUAUAAGCGGAUUUCUGAUGACAUUAGGGCUACAAUCGUGGACCAUGUUGUCAAUCACGGCCUCACAAUGGCUGAGGCUGGUCGAAGGGUGCAGCCAAAUGUUGGGAGAACCACUGUAAAUUCAACAAUUCAAACAUUUUGCUGGGAGAACAGGUGUGUAUAUUGGACAGUAAUUCAGCACUAAACAAUCUGCACUGCACUACUGUCAUUGUGUCAUACAUGAAACUUACAGUGGGACAAGAACUUGUCACUUUUUACAUUUAACAUUUAGACUUACAGCUUUACUGCAGCACAGAUUUACUGUAUUGUAGUGUACAGUAGUGUUACAGUAAAGAUUUGCCAUAUUUGGAAGCACUGUUAUUGUACACUACAGUAAUAUGGGUUAAUGCAGUGUAUCUCAUGUUUACUGUACAUUACUGUAAUUUUACUCUGCACCACAUAGGAUUGCAAGACAACCUUGCGGAGGUGGAAGAAGGCCCCUUUUUACUCCGGAACAAGAGGAAGCCAUUUGUGCAAUGCGUGUACUGGAGCUGGAGACCAGGGAACCGCUGCACACAUUCAUGUACCUUGAUGAGGCGGGUUUCAAUCUGGCAAAAGGUAGAAGGCGUGGAAGAAAUCGCACUGGACAGAGAGCAACCAUUGAUGUCCCAGGCCAACGAGGAGGGAAUAUUACAAUGUGUGCAGCCAUCUCAGAAAACGGCGUCCUCACCCAUAUCCCCCUUUUUGGUCCAUACAACACACAACAUCUGCUGACCUUUUAAGACACUCUUUACAGGGACAUAAUCCCUGAGAAUGAGAGGGGUCUAAUUGGAGAGCAUCUGAAUAAGUAUGUUGUUGUUUGUGAUAAUGUGCGUUUUUACCACUCAGAUCUGGUCAGACAGUGGUUUGCGGUACACGACAGGAUGCUGGUGGAAUAUCUCCCUCCCUACUCCCCAUUCCUGAAUCCGAUAGAGGAGUUUUUCUCUGCCUGGAGGUGGAAGGUAUAUGACCGGCAUCCACAUGCCCAAAUGGCCCUGCUAGCGCCCAUGGAUGCAGCAUGUGAAGACAUUACAGCAGAGUCCUGCAGAGGGUGGAUUCGCCACUCCAGGAGAUACUUUCCUCGCUGCAUUGCAAGGGAUGAUAUUCGGUGUGACGUAGAUGAGAAUAUAUGGCCAGACAGACAGGAAUGUCUGGAUGUGCGUGAAUGAUACUGUGUAUGUUGUAUGUUCCAAUAUGUACUGCAAUAUUGUUUACAGUUGUGCAUUUGUGCAGUUGUGCACAGCUCUACCCAAAGGGUGUUUCUUAUGUUUGUUGUCAAUAAGUAAGUGUGUAUUUUUCUUUUGCACAAUGCUGUGAACAAAUUAGAAUUGCAGUAAAACUAUGAAACAUA